UGGGAGUUUCCCUUGGAAGCGCCUUUCUCUGUGGUCGGCUAGUCUGUGCCUGACCGCAAAGGCGUAACCUCCAAGCUGGGACCCCCUCACUCGAGGAUGGGCCACCUGCCAGGAGAUGGGGAAGCUGUGGUUCAGCACCCACCUCUUCCCCACCAUUUCUCAACAUCCGUGUGCAGUCUGUGUCUCCACGGGCUGGGUGGCUCAGCAACGCUCAGCGGGAGCUCUACAGAGAUGACCUGAAGCUGAGUCAUGAUGUCCCGAGGCCAGAGCUGCUACCUUAUAAAAACACAUCGCCCCGAAGCCGACUAGGUCCAGAAACACGGAAUAGCAGGAAGAAAGGCCUGGCGUCUAGGUGUACCCCGUCAACUGAGACACACUAGUGCUCCUGGCUCUCAGAAGGUGAGCCCCUCGAAGCAGCCUUGUCUUCCCACAUCUGGAAGGUUACCAGAGCGUGACUUCAGGAAGUGACGUGGGCCUCACUCCAGUCUGAGGCUUCAGGGCCGCUUUCCCAUUACUGUUCUCUGGAGCUGACCCCGUGGACCCCUGGGGUGUUGGGGGGGGGCAGUGUGGAGCUGAGCACCUUGCCCUGGACUUACCUUCGGUGAACAGCGGCAUUCCAAUAAACAGAACUUCUGUCCUUUCUCAAGCUAA